GAUGAACGCUGGCGGCGUGCCUAAUACAUGCAAGUCGAGCGAAUGGAUUAAGAGCUUGCUCUUAUGAAGUUAGCGGCGGGCGGGCGAGUAACACGUGGGUAACCUGCCCAUAAGACUGGGAUAACUCCGGGAAACCGGGGCUAAUACCGGAUAACAUUUUGAACCGCAUGGUCCGAAAUUGAAAGGCGGCUUCGGCUGUCACUUAUGGAUGGACCCGCGUCGCAUUAGCUAGUUGGUGAGGUAACGGCUCACCAAGGCAACGAUGCGUAGCCGACCUGAGAGGGUGAUCGGCCAGACUGGGACGGAGACACGGCCCAGACUGCUACGGGAGGCAGCAGUAGGGAAUCUUCCGCAAUGGACGAAAGUCUGACGGAGCAACGCCGCGUGAGUGAUGAAGGCUUUCGGGUCGUAAAACUCUGUUGUUAGGGAAGAACAAGUGCUAGUUGAAUAAGCUGGCACCUUGACGGUACCUAACCAGAAAGCCACGGCUAACUACGUGCCAGCAGCCGCCGUAA
rnacentral:rRNA from 1 species